GGGACCCGGAACAAGUCACUUAAGCUCCAUUGCCUAGAACUUACUGCUCUUCUGCUUUAAUAUAUAUGCUGCCAAAGUCAGCACUGCUCUUCUGCCUUAGAACCAAUACACCAAAAUGAAAGAGCACAGACAAGUGACAGAAUGGGAAGGAGCCCAUAAUGGGAGAGCAGAGCUGAGAGAUUUGACUGGGAAGAGGAGGUACAUGAUCCUCUAGCCUGGCGGCAGAACCUCAUGGUGAUGGUGCAUGGCUCCUUUCACACACUCUCCAUUCUGGUCAUACGGAUCUACUUGGUAUACUUUUCACAAGACACCACAUCUUCCAUCAUCAUGUCUUCACCCCGACCGUCCCCUGAAGUCAUGGGCAGCCACAAGCAAGAGCCAAUAGGAAGAAGGAAAAGGAGAGAACAGACUUCAAUGAAGUAGAACCAAGAGAAGGUCAAACGAUUCCCAUUUCUCACCUGGCUCUAGAGCUCUCAAAGGCUUUCUCCUCAGCAGUUCCUUGAGGCUGAGAGUCCCUAGUCCCAUUUUAAAGAGAAUUAAACUAGAGCUCUUAGAGGCAAAGCGACUCAUCUGAGGUCACCCAGCCAGGUAGAGGAGGGAUCCCCAGAGCUUGGGUCAAUUUGGGGCUCAGCUCUUUCCUCUCCAGUGUUUUGCCUCUUAGACUGUGGUGAUAAAGAGACCAAUCUCCAAUGUGAAAG
rnacentral:lncRNA from 1 species